UGGGGAAUAUUGCACAAUGGGCGCAAGCCUGAUGCAGCCAUGCCGCGUGUGUGAAGAAGGCCUUCGGGUUGUAAAGCACUUUCAGCGAGGAGGAAGGUGGUGAACUUAAUACGUUCAUCAAUUGACGUUACUCGCAGAAGAAGCACCGGCUAACUCCGUGCCAGCAGCCGCGGUAAUACGGAGGGUGCAAGCGUUAAUCGGAAUUACUGGGCGUAAAGCGCACGCAGGCGGUUUGUUAAGUCAGAUGUGAAAUCCCCGGGCUCAACCUGGGAACUGCAUUUGAAACUGGCAAGCUAGAGUCUCGUAGAGGGGGGUAGAAUUCCAGGUGUAGCGGUGAAAUGCGUAGAGAUCUGGAGGAAUACCGGUGGCGAAGGCGGCCCCCUGGACGAAGACUGACGCUCAGGUGCGAAAGCGUGGGGAGCAAAACAGGAUUAGAUACCCCUGGUAGUCCACGCUGUAAAACGAUGUCGAUUUUGGAGGUUGUGCCCUUGAGGCGUGGCCUCCGGAGCUAACGCGUUAAAUCGACCGCCUGGGGAGUACGGCCGCAAGGUUAAAACUUAAAGGAAUUGACGGGGUCUAGCUG
rnacentral:rRNA from 1 species